rnacentral:rRNA from 1 species
UACGUAGGGUGCAAGCGUUGUCCGGAAUUAUUGGGCGUAAAGAGCUCGUAGGCGGUCAGUCGCGUCUGCUGUGAAAACCCGGGGCUCAACCCCGGGCCUGCAGUCGAUACGGGCAGACUAGAGUGCGGUAGGGGAGACUGGAAUUCCUGGUGUAGCGGUGAAAUGCGCAGAUAUCAGGAGGAACACCGGUGGCGAAGGCGGGUCUCUGGGCCGUAACUGACGCUGAGGAGCGAAAGCGUGGGGAGCGAACAGG